CAGGCUGCAACUCGCCUGCAUGAAGUCGGAAUUGCUAGUAAUCGCAGAUCAGCAUGCUGCGGUGAAUACGUUCCCGGGCCUUGUACACACCGCCCGUCACACCAUGGGAGUCGGUAACACCCGAAGUCGGUAGCCUAACCGUAAGGAGGGCGCCGCCGAAGGUGGGAUUGAUGACUGGGGUGAAGUCGUAACAAGGUAGC
rnacentral:rRNA from 1 species